rnacentral:rRNA from 1 species
ACUUUGCCAGAUGGUUUGAUGUCAGAGCUUGAGAUUCUUCAAUUUGUUAUGGAUGUAGAUUGCUAUCCAAAUGUCUCUCUUGCCUAUCAGAUCCUCUCAACAUUGCUUGUGUCUAUAGCCUCAACUGAAAGAAGUUUCUCUUAUCUGAAACUAUUGGAAAAUUAUUUGAGGUCAACUAUGUUGCAAGACAGAUUGAAUGACUUGGCUAUGUGCUGCAUUCAGAAGGAUAUCUUGGACAAUGUUGAUCUUGAGUGUGCCCUUAAUGACUUUGCAUCAAGAAACGUCUGA